CUAAGAAUAUUCCGCAAUGGACGAAAGUCUGACGGAGCAAUUUCGCGUGAGUGAUGAAGGCCUUCGGGUUGUAAAGCUCUUUUGGUAGGGAAGAAUAAGUCCGGCAGGAAAUGGUCGGAUGAUGACGGUACCUGCAGAAUAAGGACCGACUAAUUACGUGCCAGCAGUCGCGGUAAUACGUAGGGUCCAAACGUUGUUCGGAAUCAUUGGGCGUAAAGGGUACGCAGGCGGUCUAUUAAGUCAGUGGUGAAAUCCCGAGGCUCAACCUCGAAACUGCCAUUGAUACUGAUAGACUAGAGUUGUUAUAGGGGUGGCAGGAAUUUCUAGUGUAGGAGUGAAAUCUGUAGAUAUUAGAAGGAACACCAAUAGCGUAGGCAAGCCACUGGGUUACAACUGACGCUCAGGUACGAGAGCUAGGGGAGCAAAUGGG
rnacentral:rRNA from 1 species